AACGAACGCUGGCGGCAUGCCUAACACAUGCAAGUCGAACGAGACCUUCGGGUCUAGUGGCGCACGGGUGCGUAACGCGUGGGAACCUGCCCUUAGGUUCGGAAUAACUCCCCGAAAGGGGUGCUAAUACCGGAUAAUGUCUUCGGACCAAAGAUUUAUCGCCUUUGGAUGGGCCCGCGUUGGAUUAGCUAGUUGGUAGGGUAAAAGCCUACCAAGGCGACGAUCCAUAGCUGGUCUGAGAGGAUGAUCAGCCACACUGGGACUGAGACACGGCCGAGACUCCUACGGGAGGCAGCAGUGGGGAAUAUUGGAAAAUGGGCGAAGGCCUGAUCCAGCAAUGCCGCGUGAGUGAUGAAGGCAUUAGGGUUGUAAAGCGCUUUUACCCGGGAUGAUAAUGACAGUACCGGGAGAAUAAGCACCGGCUAACUCCGUG
rnacentral:rRNA from 1 species